AGUAACUGAGACAACUCUCAACAACGGAUAUCUUGGCUCUCGCAACGAUGAAGAACGCAGCGAAAUGCGAUACGUAGUGUGAAUUGCAGAAUUCCGUGAGUCAUCGAAUCUUUGAACGCACAUUGCCGGUCGACUCUUCGGAGGAGACCACAUCUGCCUCAGCGUCGGAAUACCCCCUCACGCACCCCCGCGUGGACCUGGCCCCCCCGGACGCCUCGGCGCCCGGGCCGGCUGAAAUGCAGAGGCUCGUGCGCGGCCCAUUCGUGGCCCCGACUAGGUAGGUAGCUCGCUACUUCUAGGCGGUGGCUCGGUGUCGCGUGCUGUGGGCCCGAAAGGAUACCAAUCCAUUCAUUCGACCUGAGUUCAGGUG
rnacentral:rRNA from 1 species